rnacentral:rRNA from 1 species
GGGUUAGUAGGUUGGUCAUGCCUCUGGUAUGUACUGGUCUCACUGAUUCCUCCUUCCUGAUGAACCGUAAUGCCAUUAAUUUGGUGUUGCGGGGAAUUUGGACUGUUACUUUGAAAAAAUUAGAGUGUUUAAAGCAGGCGAAACAGCUUGAAUACAUUAGCAUGGAAUAAUAAAACAGGACUUUGGUUCUAUUUUGUUGGUUUCUAGGACCGACGUAAUGAUUAAUAGGGAUAGUUG